rnacentral:rRNA from 1 species
ACGGGUGAGUAACACGUAGGCAACCUGCCCUCAAGUUUGGGACAACUACCGGAAACGGUAGCUAAUACCGAAUAGUUGUUUUCUUCGCCUGAAGGAAACUGGAAAGACGGAGCAAUCUGUCACUUGGGGAUGGGCCUGCGGCGCAUUAGCUAGUUGGUGGGGUAACGGCUCACCAAGGCGACGAUGCGUAGCCGACCUGAGAGGGUGAUCGGCCACACUGGGACUGAGACACGGUCCAGACUCCUACGGGAGGCAGCAGUAGGGAAUCUUCCGCAAUGGGCGAAAGCCUGACGGAGCAAUGCCGCGUGAGUGAUGAAGGUUUUCGGAUCGUAAAGCUCUGUUGCCAGGGAAGAACGCUUGGGAGAAUAACUGCUCUCAAGGUGACGGUACCUGAGAAGAAAGCCCCGGCUAACUACGUGCCAGCAGCCGCGGUAAUACGUAGGGGGCAAGCGUUGUCCGGAAUUAUUGGGCGUAAAGCGCGCGCAGGCGGUCAUUUAAGUCUGGUGUUUAAUCCCGGGGCUCAACCCCGGAUCGCACUGGAAACUGGGUGACUUGAGUGCAGAAGAGGAGAGUGGAAUUC